UACGUAGGGUGCGAGCGUUGUCCGGAAUUACUGGGCGUAAAGAGCUCGUAGGUGGUUUGUCGCGUUGUUCGUGAAAACUCACAGCUUAACUGUGGGCGUGCGGGCGAUACGGGCAGACUGGAGUACUGCAGGGGAGACUGGAAUUCCUGGUGUAGCGGUGGAAUGCGCAGAUAUCAGGAGGAGCACCGGUGGCGAAAGCGGGUCUCUGGGCAGUAACUGACGGUGAGGGAUGAAAGCUGGGGGAGCAAACCGG
rnacentral:rRNA from 1 species